rfam:Helianthus annuus linkage group 8, whole genome shotgun sequence.
GGUUCGAUGCCACGUCGGCGGUAGAUAAAGGUUCAAUGACCGACGAUGCUAUGAUUGAACCGAUAUCAAGUUUCGCAUUUUAUAGGAACCUGUGAACUGAUAUGUUUUCGUUCAUUCACAGAGCCGGUUUUUGUGAUUACAUCU